GGGCGUUUAGCGCAGUGGUAGCGCGUAUGCUUUGCACUCCGGUCUUCGGCGCGCAACUGAUUCUCUUCGGAUCAGAAAUGUUGUAUAAGGUCCAGGGUUCAAUCCCCUGAACGUCCA